rnacentral:rRNA from 1 species
UACGGGGGGGGCAAGCGUUGUUCGGAAUUACUGGGCGUAAAGGGCUCGUAGGUGGCCAACUAAGUCAGACGUGAAAUCCCUCGGCUUAACCGGGGAACUGCGUCUGAUACUGGAUGGCUUGAGUUUGGGAGAGGGACGCGGAAUUCCAGGUGUAGCGGUGAAAUGCGUAGAUAUCAGGAGGAACACCAAUAGCGAAGGCAGCUCGCUGGGACGUUACUGACACUGAGGCGCGAAAGCGUGGGGGAGCGAACAGG